rnacentral:rRNA from 1 species
UGAGGAAUAUUGGGCAAUGCCCGCAAGGGUGACCCAGCAACGCCGCGUGGAGGAUGAAUGUCGUAAGAUUGUAAACUCCUGUUAGAGGGGAAGAAUAGUACCGGUUGGACCGGUAUAUGACUGUACCCUCAGAGAAAGCCCCGGCUAACUACGUGCCAGCAGCCGCGGUAAUACGUAGGGGGCAAGCGUUGUCCGGAUUUACUGGGUGUAAAGGGCGCGCAGGCGGGAUAAAAAGUCAGUGGUGAAAUCCUACAGCUUAACUGUAGAACUGCCUUUGAUACUUUUAUUCUUGAGUUCGGGAGAGAGAGACGGAAUUCCAGGUGUAGUGGUGAAAUACGUAGAUAUCAGAUAGAACACCCAUGCCGAAGGCAGUCACUUGGUCCAUUACUGACGCUAAAGCACGAAAGCGUGGGUA